CAGUGGUGUAAACAAGCCACGCCCCUUACAAAAAAGGGAUGUGGUUUGUGAUGAAUCUCGAAUUAGCGCCCUUCCUAGGGCCAGGAAGAGACCGUCUGAAUUACAGUUUUAUUUCACAGGCUGAAAUUCCAGCGGCUCCAUCAGAUUGAGUCAUAUAGGAGAAAAAGAGACAAAAAAUUCAGCAGAAGAAAGCGUUAGAGAUUUUGGCUGAAGUGGUAAAGUCUAAGAACUUGUCAGAACUCAGAACAGCUAAUAACAAUAUCUGUAGCCCUGAUGUCUCGACGGGUUUGCUAUAAUCAAAUUAUUAAUUCCUGUG